rnacentral:tRNA from 1 species
GGGGCCGUAGUCUAGCCUGGCGAGGAUGCCGGCCUUGGGAGCCGGAGGUCCCGGGUUCGAAUCCCGGCGGCCCCA